rnacentral:lncRNA from 1 species
CGCUCGGCUAGGGAUGUGUAAGAUGGCACACAGCCACACCCGAAAACAGGUUGGAGAUCACUCACGCUGGGCUGGUGGGAUGUAAGAUGGCACAGCCGCCCGGAAACAGGUUGGCGGCCCACUCACCACAGGAUGUAAGAUGGUACAGCCGCCUCGAAAACAGGCUGGAGAUCACUCAAACAGGUUGGAGAUCACUCACGCCGGGCUGGUGGGAUGUAAGACGGCACAGCCGCCCGGAAAACAGGUUGGAGAUCACUCACGCGGGGCUGGUGGGAUGUAAGAUGGCACAGCCGCCCGGAAAACAGGUUGGAGAUCACUCAAACAGGUUGGAGAUCACUCACGCCAGGCUGGUGCGAUGUAAGAUGGCACAGCCGCCCGGGAAACAGGUUGGCAUCACCACGCUUGGCUGGUGGAUGUAAGAUGGCACAGCCGCCUGAAACAGCUGGAGAUC